CUCAGCGGUAUCGAUUUUCAUUUCUUUACAGUAUAUAGAGUGACGCAAAAAUACAUAUCACAUAUAUAUAUAUUGUAUGGGAAUCUGGCAGCUUUGACGAAUACAAUGCCAUAACCGAUUCGUUCAUGCAAUUGCAGGGCCAGCUUUUCAAGUCGUAUAUCAGCCGUAUACAAUCGCAAAUCAGAGCAAAUCCAAAACAUUUUUGGCGAUUUGUGAACGACAGGAGAAAAAGGAGCGAUAUUCCGGCUAUUGUUGAAUACAACGAUGAAAUUGCGGACACUGACACAUCGAAAGCCGAAUUAUUUGCUGACUUUUUCGAAAAUCAGUACACACGAAGCGACAUUGUCAACUUGGAUCAAUUAUUAGGUGAAUGCGGAGAUGUAUCAUUUGACAUUGAAAUCAAUGAAAACGACGUGAUGAAGGCAUUGCUAUCGGUCAACGUGAAUAAAGGAGCCGGACCAGAUGGUAUUUCACCGAAAAUGUUGAAAAAUUGCGCGCACACAUUGUCGAAACCCUUAACAGUCUUAUUCUGUAAAUCACUGCAUCAAGGAUGUGUUCCGACAACAUUAAAAAAUUCCAGAAUUGUGCCAAUAUACAAGUCUGGUAAAAAGAGCAACGCGUCGAACUACAGGCCAGUAGUUAUAAUACCGACAAUAGCCAAACUUUUCGAAAUUGUUGUGUAUAACAAAAUCAGCACAUUUGUUAAUUCGAAAAUCUGCCACAAUCAACAUGGAUUCGUGAAAAAUAGAUCAACAUCGACAAAUUUGUUACAGAUGGUGAAUUUCACGAUCGAUUCUAUGAUCAAAAAAUGUCAAACGGAUGUGCUUUAUACUGAUUUCGAAAAGGCCUUCGAUCGUGUGAACCAUAUGAAAUUGUUGCAGAAGCUGGUAAGAUUUGGAUUCGGCCGACGGCUUGUCAAAUGGUUCCAUGGAUAUUUGACAGAUAGGACACAGUUUGUUGGAAUCGGUGAACGAAAGUUACGAACUUUCACUGUAUCUUCUGGAGUACCAGCGGGAAGUAUUUUGGGACCAUGUCUCUUCAUUGUUUUUAUUAACGACAUUGUCGAAAUCGUGUCAAAUGCACUUGUUUUAUUAUUUGCAGAUGAUUUGAAAUUAAUCCGAACCAUACAAUCGCCUAUAGAUGCAAUCAUAUUUCAGAAUGCCAUUAAUCAAUUGAGCGAAUGGUGUACUGAAAAUAGUCUGCAUUUGAACUUGAAGAAAUGUUUCGUUAUGACAUACUCAAAAUGCGGAAACAUAGUCAACUAUGAUUAUACGAUCAACAACGGCCAACAUACAUUUGAAAGGAUCAACUUACACAAGGAUCUGGGAGUUAUAUUUGACACGAAGCUGACAUUUGUCAAUCACAUCGACGCGAUUACAGCCAGUGCACAUGGGGCAAUGGGUUUCAUCAAACGAACAUUAAAGAAUAAGUUUACAAUUGAAUCUGCUAAAAUAUUAUAUUGUGCACUAGUCAGAUCAAAAUUAGAGUAUGCGAGUAUUGUAUGGCAACCAUAUCACCGUAUCCAUUCCAAUAGAAUAGAAUCAAUUCAGAAAGAUUUUUUGAUAUGGACAUUGAGAUUUAUUUACCAAAAAAUUUUGUGCUACCACCGUAUCAAUUUAGAUGUGAUGUAUUAAAUAUUCAACCGCUUUGGAGACGGCGUAUAAAUGCCUCUGUUUAUUUAAUUUAUGAUCUCCUUUUGGGUAAAAUAGUGUCGAGUUCACUUAGAAAUAAAAUUGUAUAUACAAGACUGCAAUAUGACGAAAACCAAAGAAAUUUAAGAAGUACAGAACUGAUUAGAGUUAGGGCAUUUUCAUCGGAUUAUGCACAUAAUCAGCCGUUUUACGUGGCUUGUAGAAACUUUAACUUGAUAAGAGAAACAUUUUUAGAAUCGGCAUCAAGACACAUCUUUAGAAACAAUAUUGUCAAAUUAGAAAAUGUGAUAUUCGAUCGGUGAAAAAUUUAACUUUUAACUUUUAUGUGUUAUUUAGAAUAUAGAAAUUAAAACAGUGAACACAAUCGAUAUCUGCUACUCCGAAGUCGAAAAGGCUGGUAGCUGGGUAUACGAUCGGGUGGUGUUUCAUUGUGAAUGAUAUUGUACAAAUUUUGUGAUUAAUUCAGUCUGUGAUCAGACGGUGAAUAAAUAAAUAAAUAAAUAAAUAAAUAUGUUGGUAUUGCGUCAUUAGUUUUCAGUAUCACAUUGACAAAAUUUGUCAUUUUUGUGUAACAUUUGUCACACGCGUGUGUAACAUUUGUCAUUUUUGUGUAACAAAAGUUUUCUCCCGUAUCACAUGUCCGAAUCAGAACGAAAAAAAUCACAUUGCCUAUAAUUGAAAUCAUGACUGGUACGAAGUAUACAAUGUCACAGCGGACGGCAGUACGCGCGAGUGACGAAACCAGAUUAGUGUGUUGAAAAGUCGAUCUCGCUAUAUAUACACUUAAUAAACGAAAUCCAGACCUAGAAACGUUGGCCCCGGUUGAUGUAUGGAAAGCCACUGGGCCAUAGGUUAAGAAAAAAUAAUAAAGUUUGAAAAUCGGACCACCUAUCUUCAAAAUAUGAUCCUUUCAAGAAAAGUGUCAAAAUUCAGUUCUACGGCCAUAGAUGGUGUUCCAAAUUGAACAUAAUUUGGGAAGUUAAAUUUAAGAUUUUUUUUUUAAUAUUAUAUUUUUAUUAUGUCAUUUAGUUCAUAAGUAUUAUUUAAAUUUCACCGCUACUCGCUUCCUCUUCAACUUCACGCUUGAACGCUCGACGCGCCGAGAGAUGAACAAAGUGACGUCAUAAAUACAUAUACAAAAACGCAUUUUGCAUACAAAAUCACUUGUUCGUCUCUCGGCGCGUGCCUAUAAAAGGUCAAGCGAAAGCAGGAGGUUGAAGAUGAAGUGAGCGAUUAGUUUUGAAAGGCAAAAAAGACCGAAUAGAAACGAAAGCAAAAUAUAAAAAUCAAAAGUAAGAUUCUAUAUUAAAAUUAAAAGUUAUUUAAAUAAAUUUUAUUUUGUAAAAAUUAAAAAAAAAAUUCUUUUAAUAGUUGAUUUCGAAUAGAUGGCACUAAAUGAGGUCGUUGACCCCUGAAACAAACCCCCCUCCAAUUUUCAACACAUAAAACAAUGUUAGUUUUUAAAAAUGUGCAAUUGUGCAUAUCGGCUCAAAAUUUAGUGCGAUUUUGAUCUAUGACGAAAAAAUUCAUCAAAUCAAUCACAGCGGACGGCAGUACGCGCGAGUGACGAAACCACAUUAGUGUGUUGAAAAGUCGAACUCGCUAUAUAUACACGUAAUAUACGAAAUCCACACCCAGAAGGCCAUUGCCCCUGUUGAUGAAGCUCUUGGGCCAUAGAUCAAGAAAAAAUAUAAAAGUUUGAAAAUCGGUCCACCUGUCUUCAAAAUAUGGUCCUUUCAAGAAAAGGGUCAAAAUUCAGUUUCAUGACCAUAGACGGCACUAAAUGAGGUCGUUGACCUCUGAAACAUCGAUAGUCUGAUUCUAAAGCUCAAUACCUUUCCAACGAUACCUCAAACGUCGAAAUCGAUCAAUCCGUUCGAAAAAUUUAGCAUUUUAAAAUUUUCAUAUGAUUUUCCUAUAAUUUUGCUUACUCGAUUCUGAUCUUUUUGAAACUUCCUGGGAUUAAUGUACACAAGAAACUAAGACUUUUUUGUUCUGGCACUUUUCGAUAUGGCCGCCAUGUUGGCCGUGGCCGGUCUCCAAAAGUCACUUUUUGACUUUUGUCCCCACGGUCACUGAAGCUUAUCCACUUGACACACCCCGGACAUAUGCACCUCGUUGGAAAGGUCUUGAAGAGUAUACAAAUGUAUAUUAAGUUUUGUGUUUCACAUUUUGGUUUUGUCACUCGCUCUUCGCCUCGUCAGAGGUUUUUUAUUUGAUAUACUAUACAUAAAACAUUGCAAAAAAAGGAACUGACAUUCGUAAGUAUAAUUUUUCCGCACUUUUUGCAAAUUUCUUCGUUUACCGAACGAAUAUUUAUUUCCCGAAAGAUAUUGAUCAUGAUCUGUCAGUGCAGUAAAUGUUCUAGCAAAUUAAAAUACUAUUGACGUAUAAAUAAUUCAAAAUAAGUGAAAAUCGAUCAAUGUCGAAUCGAAAAAUGUACCGUAAAAUCUUAUGAACAUUAUUUUCGUAUCAAACAUAAUCUUGCUACAAUUUAUUUGUUAAUUGUUAGAACAUAAAAGUUCUUGUCAUGGAGUUCUCAUUGACUUCGAUCAUGGGUUUGUGGCUUGUUUCUUCGCAAGCGUGCACCCUCAUACUAUUCAAACGACAAUAAUGUUACUUGGACUCACAUAUUUUUCAUAUAUGUGUAAAAAAAUUUAGCAAUUUUUAUUGAAGAAGUAAAUUUGUAUACCCUUGUAAUGUGAAAAACUAUCUUAAUUACGCAUAAUAGAAUUUUUGGAGGAAAAAAUUGCUUACCGUUACCAUACAUAUUUUAUAAUAUUUCCUUUAUAUUGUAACUUGCAAGUAUGUUUAAUCUGUUUAAAAAAGAAACAUAAACCGAUUAUAUAUAGUAAAUAUAAAAGUUAGUAAAUUAGCUCAAUAAAAAGAAAAAAAAUAUUGAAGAAAUCUUUUUUAUCUCUUAUAAGCAUUUGACACAAAUUGAUGACGCAUUUUGUCAGAUAGAAAAAGAAACUAGAUUUCAAUAUUCAGUAUUACAAUAUUAUUCAAUUACUUUUAAAUAUUGAAGUGUUUGUUAAAAUGUUAUAUUGUUAAAAGAUUAUAAUGUUGUUUAAGAAAUUAUAUUACUACUCAAACUUGACAGCUCUGAAAAGUUUAGCACAAAAAAACUUAUUAAAAUUCAUACGAAUACAUUUUGUGCUGCCAUCUGUGAAAUGUCAUAAGCGCAUAAAACUUUAUAUGAAGUAAUUCAACUGUGUCCAAAAAAACAUUUUAUGAAUUUUAUUUCAAGAAAAUUCUCACAAAUACAACGAUUCAGCAGAGACAUGAAGUUCAUUGAUAUAGGGGCCAAUUUGACUGAUGGAAUGUAUAAAGGCAUUUAUAAUGGAUCUCAGAAACAUCCUGCUGAUUUAAAUAUGGUUUUAAAGAGAUCAUGGAGUAAUGGUUUGGAAAAAAU